GAUGAACGCUGGCGGCGUGCCUAAUACAUGCAAGUCGAGCGAACGGACGAGAAGCUUGCUUCUCUGAUGUUAGCGGCGGACGGGUGAGUAACACGUGGAUAACCUACCUAUAAGACUGGGAUAACUUCGGGAAACCGUAGCUAAUACCGGAUAAUAUUUUGAACCGCAUGGUUCAAAAGUGAAAGACGGUCUUGCUGUCACUUAUAGAUGGAUCCGCGCUGCAUUAGCUAGUUGGUAAGGUAACGGCUUACCAAGGCAACGAUGCAUAGCCGACCUGAGAGGGUGAUCGGCCACACUGGAACUGAGACACGGUCCAGACCCCAACGGGAGGCAGCAGUGGGGAAUCUUCCGCAAUGGGCGAAAGCCUGACGGAGCAACGCCGCGUGAGUGAUAAGGGUCUUCGGAUCGUAAAACUCUGUUAUUAGGGAAGAACAUAUGUGUAGGUAACUGUGCACAUCUUGACGGUACCAAAUCAGAAAGCCACGGCUAACUACGU
rnacentral:rRNA from 1 species